UAACCACUCUAGUCUCUCUAUCUUUUUGAAUCGUAAACCGAGAUUGAUGCUCGUUAAACCAAAUCCACCAAAUCAAAUUGGAUUCAGUUUCUGUGAUUACUGUUCCCAGAGUUUACUGUGCGGUUCAACAUUUUAGAUUACUUUUAACCAUACAGAAUCUAAUUAAAUUACUGUGAAGAUACAAUUGAAACAAAUUAAAGCCUGAGUAGAUUGGAAACAUGCACACAUAAAAACACUUAAACCGAUGUAGUAAACCGGGAAAACCAACUACAUUGUAUAAUAUAAGCUCUGGAAUUAAACGGUGUGUGUGGGUUUAGGUGUCCGGAAUGUGACGGAGCAGGAUUUGUGAGGAAGCAGGGAGCUACUUUGAGGGCGAACGCGGCACGCAAGGAUCAAGCUCAGAUCGUUUGCUCUAACUGCAAUGGUCUCGGAAAGCUUAACCAGAUCGAUAAAUAACUCUCUCUCUUUUUUUCUCUCUUCAUAAUAAUAAUAUGUAAAAAACAACACUUCACCUUUACUCUUCUUCUUCUUCUUCUUCUUCUUCUUCUCUGCAAUAUACUCUGCAAGUCUUCUUCCUGAAACCAUAAGAGAAUAUUCUAUCCGCGAUAGCUUGGAAUGAUU
rnacentral:lncRNA from 1 species